rnacentral:rRNA from 1 species
GACGAACGCUGGCGGCGUGCUUAACACAUGCAAGUCGAACGAAGCAUAUACAUUGGAGACUUCGGUCAAAGAAGUAUAUGACUGAGUGGCGGACGGGUGAGUAACGCGUGAGUAACCUGCCUUCAAGAGGGGGACAACUUAGGGAAACUUAAGCUAAUACCGCAUGACAUUGUAUUUUCGCAUGGAGAUACAAUCAAAGAUUUAUCGCUUGAAGAUGGACUCGCGUCCGAUUAGGUAGUUGGUGAGGUAACGGCUCACCAAGCCGACGAUCGGUAGCCGGACUGAGAGGUCGAUCGGCCACUUUGGGACUGAGACACGGCCCAGACUCCUACGGGAGGCAGCAGUGGGGAAUAUUGCGCAAUGGGGGAAACCCUGACGCAGCAACGCCGCGUGAAGGAAGACGGUUUUCGGAUUGUAAACUUCAACAAACAGGGAAGAUAAUGACUGUACCUGAUUGGAAGCCACGGCUAACUACGUGCCAGCAGCCGCAGUAAUAC